AGUGAACGCUGGCGGUAGGCCUAACACAUGCAAGUCGAACGGCAGCACAGUAAGAGCUUGCUCUUACGGGUGGCGAGUGGCGGACGGGUGAGGAAUACAUCGGAAUCUACUUUUUCGUGGGGGAUAACGUAGGGAAACUUACGCUAAUACCGCAUACGACCUACGGGUGAAAGCAGGGGAUCUUCGGAUCUUGCGCGAUUGAAUGAGCCGAUGUCGGAUUAGCUAGUUGGCGGGGUAAAGGCCCACCAAGGCGACGAUCCGUAGCUGGUCUGAGAGGAUGAUCAGCCACACUGGAACUGAGACACGGUCCAGACUCCUACGGGAGGCAGCAGUGGGGAAUAUUGGACAAUGGGCGCAAGCCUGAUCCAGCCAUACUGCGUGGGUGAAGAAGGCCUUCGGGUUGUAAAGCCCUUUUGUUGGGAAAGAAAAGCAGCAGGUUAAUACCCCGCUGCUCUGACGGUACCCAAAGAAUAAGCACCGGCUAACUUCGUG
rnacentral:rRNA from 1 species